rfam:Erwinia sp. EM595 isolate E_g_EM595 genome assembly, chromosome: 1
AAUGAAACUAUCACCGUUUUUCUUCGCCUUCUUUUUUAUUUUCCCCUAACAGGGAGGCGAUGCGUCGUGUGAGAAAGAAACCGAAGACGAACAUCAAAGCCUCCCAAACGGGAGGCUUUUUUUAU